UACGAAGGGGGCUAGCGUUGCUCGGAAUCACUGGGCGUAAAGCGCACGUAGGCGGAUUCUUAAGUCAGGGGUGAAAGCCCAGAGCUUAACUCUGGAAUUGCCUUUGAGACUGAGAGGCUUGAGUACGGGAGAGGUGAGUGGAAUUCCCAGUGUAGAGGUGAAAUUCGUAGAUAUUGGGAAGAACACCGGUGGCGAAGGCGGCUCACUGGCCCGUAACUGACGCUCAUGCACGACAGCGUGGGGAUCAAACAGG
rnacentral:rRNA from 1 species